rnacentral:tRNA from 1 species
CGAGAUGUAGCUAUAAAUAAAAGCAUUCAGCUUACGCCUGAAAGAUACCUGCCCCCAACAGRUCAUC